AACUGCAAUUUGCAGGUCCAUCUCAUUCCCUCCUAUUUGUUAUGUGUGUUGCUAAUUUUCAUGCGUUAUGAUUGAAUUACAUGAUACAAUUUAAUAUUACUGGUUGGAUGUUGAAACUGCUUGAAUGCAUGGAUUAACAUGAAUUGUGGGGACACGGAAAGUAAGCUUAUUAGUAUUUAAUUCACAUUGUUCUUCAUAAUUAGAAAUUAAACGAAGAACCAUGUGCUGAAUUGUUAUUUUUAGUUUUACUUUAUUUUAUCACUUAAUCGUUAGGAGCAUGCUUAGGCCGACCACAUUUUUGCUAGGCAAGACUUAGGAUAUUUUUUAGUUUUUGAGGCGAAAGGUUGUUCUCUUAGUUAAAUUUAAGCGGGGAAUGCCCGAAGGAUUUGUAUAUAUUUUAUUCGGGGCAUGCCACGAAGUACAUGUAAAUAAAGGCCAGAGAUUGGAUGACGUGAGGAUGCGUAGAAUAGAACUUUAAUAUUUUUUUAUUUAUUUUUAUCUUUUUAGGUGGGGACGACCAUUAGCCUAUUGUGCUUAUUUUUUUGUAUGUCUUUACCUCAAUUGAAUAUUUUAAAAGCUAAGUAGAUCAAGUAUGCAACCGCGACUUUCACGGGACAUGGGGAGUACCUAACACCUUUUCCAGAGUCAAAUGAACCCCCUUACUCGAAUCUCUGGUGCGGACUUGGUUUUAGAGUCUAAAUUGUUCUAAAUAAAAAAUUAUUUUAAAAAACGGUAACCUAGCAUACCAAAAACAAAUGUCAGGUGGCGACUCUGAGUUAAUCAUUUUGAAAACAAUUUUUUCACUUUUCAAAUUGGAAAACCUUUUUCAAGCUUUACUAAAUCUUUUUCAUAUUUUUAAGAGGGUUAGAGAGGUUUGGUUAAAAAAGGGGUGUGACAUCUCUAGCGACUCCGCCGGGGAAUUACAGGUUCGAGCUAGUACUUGAUCUUAUUAGCUUUUAGGAUAUUUGGUUGAGGUGUUUGUUUUAUUUAUUUACUUUGUUUAUUUGCUUUGUUUGUCUUAUUUUCUUGUUUUGUUGGUUAUUUAUUUAUCUCUUUUCUUGAUGUGUUACUGGCUUACUGCUUUAUAAACUGUCAUCAUUUGCAUAAUUAUGGGUCUUCUUUCUGCAACAAGUCUCGGAGUACAUGUCGCAUGCACGAACUCUUUGUCGAGUCACACUUUAUUUAGGAGGGGGGCUGUCAGACGUAUGGAGUUGGUGGAAAGCUUGAGCAGCCACCAUCAACCACAGGCUCUCCCCAAUUGCCUUGUUACUGAACCCCAAACUUAGGUCAGCCUUUAGGUCAUUUUUAUUUGCAUCAUGUCAUUUACACUUAAUAGGGCUCAGUCUUAGGCACCAUGUCCUUGUGUAGGAAGAUUAUCCAAGUUUUGUCAAGAUGGGCAUGUGGCCCAAAAAGACAUUCAACCAUCCCUAUGUGAUACAUGUUGCAUCAUUAAGGGUAAAAAGGUCAUUUGGUAGACCGAUGUUUGAGAAAGAACAGUAAAAAAUGAAACAAGUAGGGUCCACUCCCAUUUUUUCAUAGUUUUCUAAAAAUCAAAAAACAAAUGAAAAUGAAAAAUUCAAAAAAAUAUUUUACACUUUUCCAUUAUUUUCCAAAUAAAAAAAUAAAAAAAGAAAAUCUAAAAGGAUUUUACACUUUUCCAUUAUUUUCCGAAAUUCAAAAAAGAAAGAGAAAAAAAAAGAAAAUCCAAUAAGAUUUUAGAUUUUCCAUUAUUUUCCAAAAAAUCAAAAAAAAAAAGAAAAUCCAAAAAGAUUUUAUAUUUUUCAUCAUUUUCAAAAAGAAAAAAAUAUGUAAUGCAGCUUUUUCAAAUUAGAUGCAUUUUUAAAAAAUUAUAUCCUAUAUUUAUUCUUCCCGAACUACGCAAACUUGAUUCUAAUUUCUUAGGGAGAGAUACGUAAGAAACUCACAUAGGGUCAUGUCUUCCUAAUGAGCCCUAGGUUCUUGGUUUCGCGGGGUCUUAGCCAAAGCUUGCAUGUCAAACUACUUUUGGCAACAUCGGCCAUUCUUGCAAAAUGGGGUCAUUUUCAUAAAUAAUGGUUAAUAAACCAUGUCUUAGGAUCUUGAGUCCACAACUAGGUGUCAUAUUAAUUUAAGGUUCGUCCUUAUUGAGUUUGCAUCUUUAGCCACUUCUGGCCAUAUCGGUCAUUUUUUAAAAUGGGUCAUUUUUGCAAAUUAAUUUUGGGCCAUGAUUAUUGAGAGUUGAAUCCAAAUAAGCAUUAGUAGGGUAUUUUCGUAUUUGAGUAGUCAUCCAUGUUGAGUUUGCACUUCUGGCCAUUUUUGGCCAUAUAGUUUAAUUUUCAAAAAAUAGCUCAAUCGUGUCUUGCAUAUGUAUUAUUAGGAGGUGUUAUGGUGUCUCAUAGUGUUUUGAGUCAAUGAUCUAUUUGGUUUUAUUUUGCUCAUUCAGGUAUGGAUUCAUGUAUCACAGCUCGAGCAUGACAUAUACCCCAGGACCACUGCAUACAUGAGCUACUUCAUGCGUUUUUUAUAUUUUGAGCAUGCUUUGAAUCUUUUAAGUGGCUUAAGAGUUUAUCUAAUCUUUUGUUAUCAUACUUUAUAUAUUUGAAAACCAAAAAAAGUUAUAAAUGAAAAAUCCAAAAAGAGUUUUUAUUUUUAGUUCAAUUUAUCCAUUACUUACCCAGAACUAUACUUGAUCUAAUUCAUGAGGGGCAUGAUACGUAGGAAACCUACAUAAGGUUCGAUCGAAUUAUUUUUUCAAAAAUCAAAAAAAAAGAGAGAAUGAAGUUGUGGGACAUAAGAAAUGACGGAAAUAAAAGAGCAACAAUCAGAAAGAAAUGCGAGGAAAGAAAAGAGAAGAUGGAAAUGAACAAAUUGGGAUGAUGCCAAAUGGCCUUGUGACCCCCGAAGCCAUUCUAGAAUCGUUAAUUGUUGCUAGGGGCAUUGCACGCAUAUGAUAUUUUUAUCUGAUAAAUGUCCUAACGCUAACAUGUUGGCUUUGUUUUGCUACUCUUUGUUGCUUUUAUUAUAACAGAGGGUGGUUAGUUUAUGGCACUUUGGUGAUUUAUCCAUACAACAUAAAGUCAAAAUGCAAGGACGCCAUGGCUAGCAAAUACUUGGAUAUAGGAGUUGUCGACCCCUCGAGGGAGAAUGUGGAAUCAAAAUUUGAACUAAACAAGGAGGUCCGAAGGCUGAAACAACAAAUGUCUGAAAUGUGUCAAGCAUGGGCCAAUGGUCAAGGUCCACCCCUUUCUUAUGCUUUUCCAGAGUUUACACCCAUCUCGUCUACUACCACUCUGGUUUCAUUGUCCGAUCAAUUUUAUCUAUUUAGGUUCAGUCUUUAUCCAAAUUGCACGACUAUAGCUGGAAAUUCUGUUGCGUACUCCCAAAGUGUGCCAUUGACAACCAAUCAGACAACCACAAUAGUUAUGCCUGUCUUCACCAAACCAUGACCAGCGAUGGCGCAGAGGAAAACUCAUGAGUCACAAUUUACAACCCAGUAAGAACAAUAUCACUCCCCUAAGUACCACUCUUACAUAUUUGAUCUUCCUGCAAAGAUUGAGAAGUCUGGCCUAAUGGUAGCAUCGGAAUAAAUAACCCAAAGACUGAAAAGCUUAGAACAGCAGUUGAAAAACAUGCAAGGGCCGACAUGUGAGAAGAGUAUUACCUUCAAGGAUCUAUGUAUAUUCCCCGAUGUUCGUUUGCCACUUGGUUUCAAGACUUCAAAAUUUGAAAUGUAUGAUGGACAUGGAGAACCCAUAGCCCACCUAAAAAGGUAUUGCAAUAAACUGAGAGGUGCGGGAGGAAGUAAGAAUUACUAAUGGUUUAUCUUGGGGAAAGCCUUACGGGUGUAGCCUCCAAAUGGUUUAUGGGUCAAGACAAAUCUUGCUAGUAUGUCUGUGUGACGACCUGACCCAUCGUCACGUGAGUUACCACCUGUUUCCCCCAUUUUCUUGUUCUUUAUACUUCAUUAUCAGCGUCGUGUGUGAUGGGGUUGAUUUGGAUUGAUUUUAGAAGGAAAUGAGACGCUUAGUCUCUUUAAGGAAGGGUUGUUUUAGAAAAGUCAACCGAACAUUGACUUAUGUGUUAGGAGGCUCGGAUGUGAAUUUCGAUGAUUCGAUUAGCUUCGGUGGAUGAUUUGUGACUUAGAAGUGUGAUCGGAAGUGAUUUUGGAGGUCCGGUGUAGAAUUAGGCUUGAANNNNNNNNNNNNNNNNNNNNNNNNNNNNNNNNNNNNNNNNNNNNNNNNNNNNNNNNNNNNNNNNNNNNNNNNNNNNNNNNNNNNNNNNNNNNNNNNNNNNNNNNNNNNNNNNNNNNNNNNNNNNNNNNNNNNNNNNNNNNNNNNNNNNNNNNNNNNNNNNNNNNNNNNNNNNNNNNNNNNNNNNNNNNNNNNNNNNNNNNNNNNNNNNNNNNNNNNNNNNNNNNNNNNNNNNNNNNNNNNNNNNNNNAAUGAAGUUAGUAUUUUGGCGAAUUCCGGUUGAUAGGUGAGAUUUUGAUCAGAGGGUCGGAAUAGAAUUUUGAGAGUUGUUGUAGCUUUGUUAGGUGAUUUGGGAUGUGUGUGUAAAAUUUCAGGUCAUUCGGAGGUGAUUUGGUUGUGUUUUUUAUCGAAUGCAUGUUUCGGAAGUUUUUGAAGAACUUAGGCUUCAAUUUGAUGUAAUUUGAUGGUUAUGGUGUUGUCUGCAGUAUUUUAAUAAUUGGAUCAAGUUUGAAUGAUGUUAUAGGAGGUGUUGGUGCUUUUGGUUGAGGUCCUGGGGGCGUCGAGGUGAUUUCGGAUGGUUAACGGGAAGUUUUGGACUUGUGAAAUUGGAAAAUUGUUGCUGCUUCUGGUAUUUUUGCAAAUGCGGAUUUGGGACCGCGGAAAUGGACUUGCAGAUGCAGAAGGAUAGAUCACAGAUGCGAAGUUUGGCUUGGGGAGCUGUUUCCGCAAAAGCGGACGAGGAACCACAUUUGUGAUACCACAGAAUGCGGCAUUGGAAUAGCAGAAGCGGAGUUUAGACCUUAGGGAAUUUCUGUAGAAGUGGAGCUGGGUCGGCAGAAUCGGAAACCGCAUAUGCAGAAAUGGACUGCAGAUGCGGUUCUAGACCUAAAGUGAGGAGAUUGUGACCGCAGAUGCGGUUUUGCCUGGGCAGAAAUAUUUAAGUUCAUCUUCACUAAUUUUUGAAGGGUUUCUCAUUCUAACUGCGGACUUGGAGUACUGUGGGCGAUUUUGAAGAGGAUUUUCAAGGAGCUUUGAUAAGGUAAGGAUUCUUGGACUUAAAAACACAAUUUUAUGGUGCAAAUAUAUGGAUUAGGGCUGAAAACUUAAGAAAUUAAUGGACAAAAAUGGUGAAUUAGGGCUUGAACUUAAGAGAGAGAAAUUGGGAUUUGAGGGGUCAUUUGGACUCUGAUUUUGGAGUUCUUUAUAUGAAUAGACUCGUGGAGAGAUAAAGAACCCGUUGAUGUAAGAAUUUUUGAGUUUCGAGAAGUGGGCCCGGGCUCGGGUUUUGCUAAUUUUGAGAUUUUGGCUAUUUUCGAUUAUUUUCGAUUGGGUGUUCCGUUGGCAUAUUGUGAUGUAUUCGUUGUGGUUUUGAUCAGAUUCGACGCGCGAGGAGGUCGAUUUGAGAGGCAAGGGCAUAGCGAGCUAGGAUUUGGCCGGCUUGAGGUGAGUAAUAGAUGUAAAUGAUGUCCUAAGGGUUUGAAACCCCAAAAUUAAACAUCGUAGUGCUACAUGUAGGUGACUUGCACGUCGUAUAGCGAACGUGGGGUAGAGUACCGUUGGGGAUUGUGACUUGGUCCGUCCCGAUAGAUGAAUUUACUGCAUAUUUGACUGAAUAUCACAUGUUAUCAUUAUGAUUUGAGCUGAUUGUCAUAUUUGGGCUUCGUGCCAAUUGAUUGAAUCCUUCAGGGAUUGCUAUUUCUGGUUUCUUACCAUUUUUACAUAUUAUUGAACUCAGUCUUGGUACUUAAUAUUAUUUUUCAAACUCAACCAUUUUUUCUCAAACUUGAAACUUAAAUAAUAUUUCUAAUGAAGGUUGGGCUGAAUAUUUAUAUAUUAUUGUGCCUGAGGGGCUUAUGUGAUUCUGGACUGAGUAUGGGAUCGGGUUGCGCGCCGAAGUGGUAUUAUAUUGAUAUUGAUAUGAGGCCGAGGGCCUAGUUGAUGCCACAAGAUGGCUUAUAUUGUGCUUGGGCCGUAAGGGGCCUCUCUCGGAGUCUGCACACCCCAGUGAGCGUCGUCGAUGAUAAAUUAAUAGAGCGGACUGCACACCGCAGCGGGUACUAGAGAGUACCAGACUAUGUGUUGCAUUUCCUAUUUGACUGUUAUUUACUUAUUUAUCUGUUGCAAUAUUUCCUUAAUUGUUUUCAUUGGUUUACGUACUUUAUACCACUUGGUUUACAAUGCUGCAUUUAUAGAAUUACUUUGUGCCUAUUCAGGAUUUUUUAUCCUCAGCCUUUAUUUAUGUUUAUUACUCACUGGGUCAGAGUACUAACAUUACUCCCUACACCUUUUGUGCAGAUACAGGUACAUCUGAGGUUGAGUGAGGACUUCUCUGCCGAGUAGCUUAUCCGGGUGCGUCAAGGUAGUUACAUGACGUCCGCAAUCAUAAUUUUCCCUUUUAUCAUACUGAUUCAUUUCCACAUUUCUUUAGAACGAUAUUUAGUAGGUAGAUACUCAUGUAUUAGAGGCUCAAACUUGUGACAUCAGAUUCUUCGGGUUGUGUAGUAGAUUUGGUAACUGGGAUUUCCGCAUGUUUUAACUAUAUUUCAGAAUUUCAGUAUGAUGACUUAGUAAUUUAUAUGUGUUAAUUAAUUCAUG
rnacentral:lncRNA from 1 species